rnacentral:rRNA from 1 species
UACGUAGGGUGCAAGCGUUGUCCGGAAUUAUUGGGCGUAAAGAGCUCGUAGGCGGUCUGUCGCGUCGGCUGUGAAAACCCGGGGCUCAACCCCGGGCCUGCAGUCGAUACGGGCAGACUAGAGUGCGGUAGGGGGAGACUGGAAUUCCUGGUGUAGCGGUGAAAUGCGCAGAUAUCAGGAGGAACACCGGUGGCGAAGGCGGGUCUCUGGGCCGUAACUGACGCUGAGGAGCGAAAGCGUGGGGGAGCGAACAGG